GGAAAACUGGAUUUUGGUGAAAGCUUGAAAUGUCCACAGAAGCUCCAAAAUCACUGAGUGAAAGAGGAUACAGACAGGGAGACAGGAAAUAGUCUCCCAUGUAUUUCAGAAUCACACUUGUAAAGGACUUUGGUCAAGAAUACUCUUGGUGGAGAAAAGCAGCAGGGCCAGUUCCUCCUCAGCCCCAGUGGGCCAGCGUUGUGCUCCUCCUCCGGCGUGCCUACCGGAGACAGCCCUCACCCUUGGGGAAUCCCCUCAUUGAACUCCGAUUGCCUUCUCUCAAGAGGUAUUGAAGGACUGAAAUCAUUCUCCUUUCCUAAGCCAUGCGUGCAUGCUCAUUGCAGGAUGCUGUCCUCAUGGGAGACUUGGUGUGUAGAAAGCAAGACUGUUGUCCUUCUGAGUUCACUGUAACUGGGCAGAAGAUGAUGGCCUUUAGGGUUAGUGAUAGAAUCAAACUGACUUUAUUAAUAUUCAACACAUUGUAGAAUAUCAGUCUCAGUAUCUACUUUGUUUUAUAGAAUAUAUUAAUUUUUUGUAUUCUUAUGCAUUUUAAUUUGAGUUUGGUGUGAGAAUAAAUUAUCCUAAGUAUAUUUUCACAUGAUUAUUCUUUAAUAUUCUCUAUUUACUUUUCUACCUGUGAGGCCAGUAUGCAAAGAUUUAAAGGAAAAAUGGUGCAUGGAUAGACAGACAGACAGACAUAGUUAUUCUGUUGAGAGACCGUGCAACUCAGUGAUAUCCAGUAAUCUUGGAAGUCACAAACACAUAGGUUCCAGUCCUAAAUCCAGCACAUUACUACAUUGAUGCCCUCCAAGGGACCUAAGUUUAUACAUUUCAAUUUUGCCUUUUAAGGAAACAUCAUGGGAAAAUAUGUCUUUUUAUCAAAGACCACAUCAAAUAUGGCUUUCAGUGAAUAACAGUUGUGUUACUAUCAUUGUCUUUUGUGAGAUUAAAGGUACAACAUACGUAAAGUGCUGACCAUGGUGCGUGAGCAUUCUGGUGUGCCACUGCACAGUAGAGUGACUACAGAUAAUAAUAAAGUACUCUAUACCACAAAAAGCUAUAAAGAAUAAUUUAGAAUAUUUCAUCAAAGAUAUAGAUAUUUGAUGAGGUAGAUAUGCAUAACCUAAUUUAAAUAUUGCACAGUUUAUAUAUGCAUUGAAAUAUCAUGAUACCCCCUUAAUAUGGAAAUAUUUAUGUUACAGUUACAUUUAAUAAUUAAACCAUACAAAUAUACAAG
ensembl:lncRNA